rnacentral:rRNA from 1 species
UACGGAGGGUGCAAGCGUUGUCCGGAUUUAUUGGGUUUAAAGGGUGCGUAGGUGGCCGCUUAAGUCAGCUUUGAAAGCUGGUCGCUUAACGAUCAGGGGUGGGUUGAUACUGAGCGGCUUGGAUCAGGUGGCGGUUUCUGGAACGGGUCGUGUAGCGGUGAAAUGCAUAGAUAUGACCCAGAACUCCGAUUGCGAAGGCAGGA